rnacentral:tRNA from 1 species
AGCAGCGUGGCGCAGCGGAAGCGUGCUGGGCCCAUAACCCAGAGGUCCCUGGGAUCGAAACCAGGCGCUGCUA